rnacentral:rRNA from 1 species
UACAGAGGAUGCAAGCGUUAUCCGGAAUGAUUGGGCGUAAAGCGUCUGUAGGUGGCUUUUUAAGUCCGCCGUCAAAUCCCAGGGCUCAACUGAGGAACUGCACGGGAUACUGGAAGACUUGAGUUCGGGAGAGGGAAGCGGAAUUCCGGGUGUAGCGGUGAAAUGCGUAGAUAUCCGGAGGAACACCGGUGGCGAAGGCGGCUUCCUGGACCGAUUACUGACGCUGAGGCGCGAAAGCUAGGGGAGCAAACGGG